rnacentral:tRNA from 1 species
AGGUCACCAGCAUGAAAGGAUCAUGCGUCUCUCCUAUAGAGAGAAGAUUUCGGUUCGAGUCCGAUGUGGCGUU